rnacentral:tRNA from 1 species
AGGGAUGUAGCGCAGUUUGGUAGCGCAUUUGUUUUGGGUACAAAGUGUCGCAGGUUCGAAUCCUGUCAUCCCUA